rnacentral:lncRNA from 1 species
AAUGGCUUGACCACUAUUUCUGUAUUUAAAUGUGUUUUUGAUGCCACUUCCAUUUCAGUAAAUGUGCAAAGAAGGUUUGAGUUAUUCUGCAACUUAUUCAGUUUAAUCAAAGAUUACAUUUCAGCUUGAUAAGCCCUCUAUUCCCAGUCCCAGCAUGACUGUGCACAGUGACACAACGGAAGGGGUGCUGUAAGUGAAACAUGGCGUCUCCUCACAAAGUGGCAAAACCGAAGGGACAGGAUGCAGCAACAUGAAGUCAGGACAAACAGCAGGGGGAUGCUGGGAGUUCCUGCAGUUGGCAACAUCUGCAUGGGGAACGGCAGCCUUGGAUUUCUGCAGACCACUUCUGCAUCUGUACAGUUAAACCAGGACAACAGUUAAAAAGCGGUUUAAUGAUCUGUCCUGGCUCUCUGCAAGGUCAUUUGGGCACAAGGAAGAAGGGCCUGGCUGCUCAUUGGUACACAGAUCUAGAGAAGAAGGAGGGUGUGGAUCUGAUGUUUUUGGCAGCAGCAAGCCUUUAGGUUGGCUUAGCUGCAUCUUCUAGCUGCACCCAGAGCUAACCCUGCUGCAGACCCACCUGGCUUUUUUUUGUUUGUUUCUCCACCACCUCCCUCCUUCUACCAGCACUUGCACAGCCAGUUGAUGAUCUGUUUAGGGGGUCAAAGCCAACAAAAACAGUUUAGCUUUAACCAAGAUCAGCAUUACAGAUGAGUGCAAAGGGGACAGAAAAGAGGUGGGUGUGGGUGUGCAGGGAACGACCAGUUUUUGGUUUGUUUUUUACUGGUGGCAGUGACUGCAUAAGGUAUUAGUGAAACUACAUCCCUGGAGGCCUGGUGCUGUGGUUGAACCCUAGAAAAUGAGAGGUACCGAGUUUCCAGAGGGUAUUUGCAUGAAGCUCAGAGAGGAAAGGCGGUGGAUUUCUCUGUUUCACAUUUUGUUCACUGACUUCUUCCAAAGGGUAACUUGACUCAGUUGUUCAUCUCAGGCAAUUCUGUAUUUCUGCUCCUAAUAAAGUCUCUCUGUGAUUUAGUAUGGAGUGUGUA